rnacentral:rRNA from 1 species
UGUCUCAAAGAUUAAGCCAUGCAUGUCCUAAGUACAAGCCGNGUACGCGGGGAGACUGCGGACGGCUCAUUAAAUCGGUUAUGAAUCCACUGGGGCCAGACUCACCCGGGGAUAACGUGCGGUAACUCCGGUGCUAAUACAUGCAAGGCUCCGACCCCGUCUUCGGGCGGGGGAAGGGCGCACUUAUUAGGCGAAAACCAAUGGCUCGGCCUNGCGCCGAGCGUUGGUGGACGACACCCGAGUAAUUGCCGCCGAUCGCACGGCCUCAGCGCCGGCGACGCCUUCACUGAGUUUCUGAUCUAUCAUGCUGUCGACGGUUGGUGCUAUGCCAACCGUGGCGUUGACGGAUAACAGAGAAUCUGGGUUCGAUUCCGGAGAGGGAGCCUAUUAUACAGAAACCCCCUCCAAGGUUUGCAGCAGGCGCGCAAAUUACCCAAUCCUGACACGGGGAGGUAGUGACAAAAAAAUAACAAUGCUGCCGGGCUUUUACAAGGCUGUCAAUUGGAGGGAUUCAAUUUUAAAUCUUUAACCGGGAUAAAUGGAGGGCCAGUCUUGGGCCAACCACCCGGGGAAUUUCAAGUUCAAUAACGUAUAUUAAAGGUUGUGGAGGUUAAAAAGUUGGUAUUGGAUUUUUAGCUGGUUCCGGCGGGUCCGCUCNUUGCGUGGAACCGACUGGAUGGUGCUUCUAUCUCGAAAAUUUUUGGGAGCUUUAAUUUGUGAGUCGGUUGUUGCCACCUUCUCUUCUGUAAAAAAAUGAGAGUGCUCAAAAGGGUUUAUUGUUGUUUAAUGUCCAUGGAUACAUUAAAAUAGAAUACCGCGCCUAUUUUCUUGGUUUACCCACCACGACCACGAAUAAGAGGGACCGCCGGCGGNCCUCUCUAUUGCGGCGGGAGACGGGCAACUCUCGCAUCAUCUCAAGAACGAACUCUCGAAAGCAUUUGCCGCAGCACUUUUGCCGACAGAACGAAAGUCAGAGGUGCGAAGGCGAUCAAGAUACCGCCGUAGUUCUGACCGUAAACGUUGCCGCCUGGCAAUUGGGCGCACUUCUGUCGAAGUUGCCGCCAGCAGUAUUGCCCGGGAAACCAAAGUCAUUGGGUUCCGGGGGGAGUAUGGUUGCAAAGCUGAAACUUAAAGGAAUUGACGGAAGGGCACCACCAGGAGUGGAGCCUGCGGCUUAAUUUGACUCAACACGGGGAACCUCACCCGGCCCGAACACUGUUAUGACAGACAGGUUGAGAGCUCUUUCUCGAUUCAGUGGUUGGUGGUGCAUGGCCGUUCUUAGUUCGUGGAGCGAUUUGUCUGGUUAAUUCCGAUAACGAACGAGAUUCUUGCCUGCUAAAUAGACGGCGCCGCCUCAGUACGGCGACCGAUCGCUUCUUAGAGGGACAAGCGGCUUUUAGCCGCGUGAAGCAGAGCAAUAACAGGUCUGUGAUGCAAUCGGGGCCCGCACGCGCGCUACACUGUUUGCAUCAGCGUGUUUCUCCCGCGCCGAUCGGCGCGGGCAACCCGUUGAACCGCAAACGUGCUAGGGAUCGGAGAUUGCAAUUGUUCUCCGUCAACGAGGAAUUCCUUGUACUGGCGAGUCAUCAGCUCGCGGGGAAUCUGUCCCUGCCCUUUGUACACACCGCCCGUCGCUACUACCGAUUGAGUGGUUUAGUGAGGCUCACGGACUGCGAGCUGCUCCAGGCGGCUUCGGCCGUCACGGCGCAGCGAGCGGAAAGUGAGACGAACUUGAUCACUUCUAGGAAGUAAAAGUCGUAACAAGGUUUUCGUAGGUGAACCUGCGGAAGGAUCACU